rnacentral:lncRNA from 1 species
AUACAUCCCACCCAGAGAAACGAUCUCGCCUCAGAUGAUACUUGUCAUCUGUGAGACCACCCCUUUAGCUAGAGUUAACCACUUGAGCAGGUUUCAAUUUUGUCUCUGAAAGUAGGAAGCUAUCAGUCUCCCUACAUGACUCGUUCCACCCUUUGUGGAUACUUCUACCUGUAGAAAAAAAGGUUGGCAAACUUGGUGGCAUGGUGAGGACAAAGGGCAUUUUGAAAGAACCAGUGACUGAGGUCAGAGUGGGGAGCUGGUGUUAGCUGUGGGAUUCACUGCAGCGUCCUACCACAAAGGCAAAGAAGAUGAAAAUGCAGCGUGCAGUGCUGGGCUUGAUUCCCAAGUCGCAGUCGGGCUCCCGCUAUGGGUAGGAGGCUUUACACUCAGCCUGGGUCAGCACCGGAGCAUCCAGGCACUUCAGCUCGUCUGGGUAGUCAGCUGUGAGGAUCAGGAAGAGAUCAAAGAAAGUAGAAAUGUGGGUGAGGCCAGAGAAGGAGACAAUAAUCUGGGAUGGAACAUUGAAGAGGAACACUGCCUCUGGAGAGGACUCCAAAACGUGGUUGAGUUUCUGCAGGAUAUGCAAAAACCAGUCUUCCCCCUGGUGGAACUGUGUGGCUCUUCACUCAGGAUGAGUCUUCAUGCACAAGCCUUGCAGCAUGCACCGGCCACUUACCACCGUUCUCCCAUUACUUUUCCAUCUGCCAUUACUGAACACCAGUCUGUGCUACUGUCUGGGUGUAGAGCAAAAAGUGGGGUGCAGAACUGACUUCAAAGAACUAAAGGAGGCCAUGACAGAGGCACCUGAAGAAGACCUCUACAUAGGCCUCAGAUAAAGAGACCUAAGAAUGGAGGAUCCUGAGCUGGCAAUAUAAAUAUGCACAAGGGCGUGACCAGCCAGGGGGUCCUUGACUGCAACUCCCUUCAAAGACUGCAAUGCAUUGGCUGUGAACCAAGUCUGGGGUGGGCAGAACAGCCUCUCCACACCCUGUAAGCCUGCCAGGAGUGUCUUUUGGAAGACAAUUCUUGGUCUGCUACUGGGCCUUAGUAGAGACUGAAUGUUUGACCAUUGGCUGCCAAGUUACCAUGCAACCUGAGCUGCCCAUCAUGAACUGACUGUUAUCUGAUCCACCAAGUCAUAAAAUUUGGCAUACACAGCACUCCAUCAUCAAAUGGAAAUAGUACAUACAUGAUCUGGUUGGAAUAGGCCCUGAAGGCACAUAUGCAAGACAUUGUGAUUUUGACCUUGUUGGAUGCUGCACCUAAAGGUGGAUGGAAGAGGAAGAGUCUUGGGGGCUACCAUCCUGGCUGGAGAAGCUGGCACGAGGCUCCCUCUUGUGGAUGCAGCAAGUCUGAGGGCCAAGGGAAGAGAAGAGUGACAUAGAAUCUCCUUUCCUUGAGAUCUUAGAAUCACGCCUGCCUCCUUACCUCCAUCCAGGACUGUUAAAAAUCUCCCAAGGCAGAGACUUUUAGGCCUACAUGUACUUAGCCUCCUCUUCCCACCUCCUGUUCAUCUCUGUUUCCAAUGUUCCACUGCCAUCACUGCCAGGAAGUUCUGCAGAGAAGAAUGAAGAAGAACCGUAUGAUCCUAAACAUGUUCUUUGAAGAUAUUAUCAACCCACCAUUGGCCUUAUUUACUGGAAUGUUUUUAUAACCUUUAUUUGACACCUCUUCCCAUCAUUUAAAAUAAAUCUGGUGCUUCCCUGAAUAA